AUUGAGUUACUGUUGAUCUUUUUUUUUUUGGGAAACUUGUGAAUUUGGUUUAUAAUUUUGGGUAACAAGUAACAAACUAUUUGAUUAAAAUGCCAAAACAGGGCCUCAAAAGAACCAUUCUGAAUCUCUGAAUCAGUUAAAUGAAAAACAUGCUAAACAAAGACGUGCAGCAAUUUAAAGCCUUGUCCGCAAUUUAAAAAAAAAGGAGAUCAACAGUAACUCAAUAAAUGGCAAAAACAAAAAUCAUUUCAAGCUCAUGCAGCAGCUUCAGCAGGGGC
rnacentral:misc_RNA from 1 species